rnacentral:misc_RNA from 1 species
GAUGAAGAACGUAGCGAAAUGCGAUACGUAAUGUGAAUUGCAGAAUUCAGUGAAUCAUCGAGUCUUUGAACGCACAUUGCGCCCCCUGGUAUUCCGGGGGGCAUGCCUGUCCGAGCGUCAUUGCUGCCCUCAAGCACGGCUUGUGUGUUGGGCCUCCGUCCUCCUCCCGGGGGACGGGCCCGAAAGGCAGCGGCGGCACCGCGUCCAGUCCUCGAGCGUAUGGGGCUUCGUCACCCGCUCUUGUAGGCCCGGCCGGCGCUUGCCGACACAUCAACCUUUUUUCCAGGUUGACCUCGGAUCAGGUAGGGAUACCCGCUGAACUUAAGCAUAUCAAUAAGCGGAGGA